AUCCAGACCCCUCGACGGUCAAAGACCACACGACAGGAACAUGCUCCUGGAGACGCUGAGAAAGCACGGAAGGAAUGUCUGUGGAGGAUGUACUCAAAAAAUACACAUACUUAAGGACACCUGCUGGAGGGGACCCGGCUACACCUUUCCUACCAUACACCUGAUGGAUACUGACUGUAAAAUGGCAAUCAUAGGAGGAGGGUGUGGUGACAGAAGAUGGAAUAGAUGUGUGCCAGUGCACCAGCCUUGAUGAAGCCUUCAUAACAGCCUUCUGUGUGUAUUUUGCUUUCAACAUUGCAUAUCCACCACACCUGAGAAAGACACUGACUUUCCUUCAGAGGCACAUUGUCAACAUUAGAAGAUGGAGACAAGCACUGUAUGGUUGACUGAAAGUCUGUCAGUCCAGAUGUAAGGAGGGCACACAGAGUGGAGUUGGAGCUCAGCAGAUGUGUGAUG